AGAGUUUGAUCAUGGCUCAGGAUGAACGCUAGCUACAGGCUUAACACAUGCAAGUCGAGGGGAAACGACAUCGAAAGCUUGCUUUUGAUGGGCGUCGACCGGCGCACGGGUGAGUAACGCGUAUCCAACCUGCCCACCACUUGGGGAUAACCUUGCGAAAGUAAGACUAAUACCCAAUGACGUCUCUAGAAGACAUCUGAAAGGGAUUAAAGAUUUAUCGGUGAUGGAUGGGGAUGCGUCUGAUUAGCUUGUUGGCGGGUAACGGCCACCAAGGCUACGAUCAGUAGGGGUUCUGAGAGGAACGGUCCCCACAUUGGAACUGAGACACGGUACCAAACUCCGUACGGAGGCA
rnacentral:rRNA from 1 species